GACGAACGCUGGCGGCGUGCUUAACACAUGCAAGUCGAACGGAAAGGCCCUGCUUUUGUGGGGUGCUCGAGUGGCGAACGGGUGAGUAACACGUGAGUAACCUGCCCUUGACUUUGUGAUAACUUCAGGAAACUGGGGCUAAUACCGGAUAGGAUCUCCUGCUGCAUGGUGGGGGUUGGAAAGUUUCGGCGGUUGGGGAUGGACUCGCGGCUUAUCAGCUUGUUGGUGGGGUAGUGGCUUACCAAGGCUUUGACGGGUAGCCGGCCUGGGAGGGUGACCGGCCACAUUGGGACUGAGAUACGGCCCAGACUCCUACGGGAGGCAGCGGUGGGGAAUAUUGCACAAUGGGCGGAAGCCUGAUGCAGCAACGCCGCGUGCGGGAUGACGGCCUUCGGGUUGUAAACCGCUUUCGCCUGUGACGAAGCGUGAGUGACGGUAAUGGGUAAAGAAGCACCGGCUAACUACGUG
rnacentral:rRNA from 1 species